rnacentral:rRNA from 1 species
GCAGAGCACUCCUACGGGAGGCAGCAGUGGGGAAUAUUGCACAAUGGGGGAAACCCUGAUGCAGCCAUGCCGCGUGUGUGAAGAAGGCCUUCGGGUUGUAAAGCACUUUCAGUAGGGAGGAAGGUAGUGUAGUUAACACCUGCAUUAUUUGACGUUACCUACAGAAGAAGCACCGGCUAACUCCGUGCCAGCAGCCGCGGUAAUACGGAGGGUGCGAGCGUUAAUCGGAAUUACUGGGCGUAAAGCGCAUGCAGGCGGCCUGUUAAGUCAGAUGUGAAAGCCCGGGGCUUAACCUCGGAAUUGCAUUUGAAACUGGCAGGCUAGAGUCUUGUAGAGGGGGUAGAAUUUCAGGUGUAGCGGUGAAAUGCGUAGAGAUCUGAAGGAAUACCAGUGGCGAAGGCGGCCCCCUGGACAAAGACUGACGCUCAGAUGCGAAAGCGUGGGGAGCAAACAGGAUUAGAUACCCUGGUAG